rnacentral:rRNA from 1 species
UACAAAAAAUGUAAAUAAAUUUUAUUAGUUAAUAAUUAAAUGUAUUAAUUUGAAAUAAAAUUAUAUUUAUUAAGUGAAAUUUUAAAUAUAAAAUUAAUUUUUAAUAAAUAUUUUGUUAUUAUGAAAUUUAUUUUUAAACUAGGAUUAGAUACCCUAUUAUUUUAAAUGUAAAUUUAUAUACUAAAUUAGUAAUAGUUAUGUUCUUUAAAUUUAAAGAUUUUGGCGGUAUUUUAGUCUAUUCAGAGGAACCUGUUCUAUAAUUGAUAAUCCACGAUUAAUUAUACUUAAUUUAAAAAUUUGUAUAUCGUCGUUUAAUAAAUAAUUUUAAAAGAAUUAAAAUUUUUAAUAUUUUAAAUUAAAAGUUAUAUCAGAUCAAGGUGCAGUUUAUAUUUAAGAAGAAAUGGGUUACAAUAAAUUUAUUUAUAUGGAUUUGUAUAUAAAAUUAUAUAAUAAAAGUGGAUUUGAUAGUAAUAAGAUUUAAUUAAAUUUUAUGAUUUUAGCUCUAAAAUAUGUACAUAUCGCCCGUCGCUCUUAUUCUAAAAUAAG